AAUCAUGCGGGUGUAGGCGGAGCCUGAUCCUGGGUUCCCGCUGCACUGGCAAGCAGCAGGCACCCACGAUGGGAGCCCUGGAGGAUCUCAGACGCUGGGACCACAGGCGCAGCCAGGACAGAGACCCCGCAGCAGAUGGCGCUCGGGGCCCAGGCUAUGCAUCGUGCCUGGAUUUUAGGCUGCCUGAAAGAAGCUGAGGGUCCAGCACGCCUGCGCGCUGCACCGCUCUCCACAGCACCCUACGGAAGGGUCUGUGUCUCUGAACAUGGCAGCCUACCUGAUAAGUCAGACGGUUUCUGGAGAGUGAUUUAAAGGCACCAGUACCUGCCGUGCAGCGUGAAAUGAACAAAUGGAUCUGUUUGUAGAGACGUGACUGUGUUAUAAAUCAGUAGUGUCUUUCAACACAGAUGACAGAGAUAAGAGAAAAAAUGAGCUCCUCUCGGUCUUCUGUACUGAAGAAAUAUUCACACAAUAGACAUUACAGGAAGUCAAGAACAGUUAAGACUUCUGCUGUGGCUCUUGAGAGAGAAAAUAUAAACUAUGCACGCAUCUUUUUUUGGUUUUCUGAUAAUAAAGUUUCACAGCUAAAAUUGUA